GACGUAGGGCGCGAGCGUUUGUCCGGGAUUUAUUAGGGCGUAAAGGGUGCGUAGGCGGCGCGGUAAGUCGGGUAGUGUGAAAUUCUCCGGAGCUUAACUCCGAAACUGCAUUCGAUACUGACCGUGCGUUGAGGGACUGGAGAGGAGACUGGAAUUUGACGGUGUAGCGGUGAAAUGCGUAGAUAUCGUAAGGAAGACCAGCUGGCGAAGGCGGGUCUCUGGACAGUUCCAUGCGCUGGAGGCAACGGAAUGGUACCAGGGGAGGC
rnacentral:rRNA from 1 species